GACGUAGGGCGCAAGCGUUGUCCGGAAUUAUUGGGCGUAAAGAGCUCGUAGGCGGUGUGUCGCGUCGGCCGUGAAAACCUGCAGCUUAACUGUGGGCGUGCGGUCGAUACGGGCAUCACUGGAGUUCGGCAGGGGAGACUGGAAUUCCUGGUGUAGCGGUGAAAUGCGCAGAUAUCAGGAGGAACACCGGUGGCGAAGGCGGGUCUCUGGGCCGAUACUGACGCUGAGGAGCGAAAGCGUGGGGAGCGAACAGG
rnacentral:rRNA from 1 species